AAGCUUGUAAACUUAGUGGCGGACGGGUGAGUAACACGUGAGCAACCUGCCUAUCAGAGGGGGAUAACGAUUGGAAACGAUCGCUAAUACCGCAUGAUACAUUUGGGUGGCAUCAUCUGAAUGUCAAAGAUUUAUCGCUGAAAGAUGGCCUCGCGUCUGAUUAGCUAGUUGGUGAGGUAACGGCCCACCAAGGCGACGAUCAGUAGCCGGACUGAGAGGUUGACCGGCCACAUUGGGACUGAGAUACGGCCCAGACUCC
rnacentral:rRNA from 1 species